AUGGGUCACAUUUCAAGCCAAAAAGGUAAAUAUACCAGGUAUAGGAAAGAGCUUACUCCAAGCCUCCGACUCAUGUGCCGGAUGCAGAUGCUCUUUCCCUGUCAAGCUUGCGAGCGUGGGCGCGCACGGCGCGCCAAUGCUCGUCGAAGGCCGCCGGGUGCUUGUCCUGCAGCCCCCUCUGCCGGUUCAGCGCGACGCCGAGCGCCAUCAUGGCGUGGUCCUGGCAGUCGAUCUUCGCCGGCGCGAGCAGGUGCUGGGGGAUGUGGCCAUAGUGCUGGCUGCCGUCGGCCUCUAUGUACGGCAGGAACGGCUGUGCGUAGAGGACGGCCCCGAGCCAGUACUCGGACAGGCUCCUCCAGUUCUUCACCUGCUCGACCAUGUGCGCCGGCAGCACCCCUCGCCGGGCAGCGUUGCACAUCAUGUGGCUGA
rnacentral:rRNA from 1 species